GGUGAAACUGAAACUGAAUCCUAUCAGGGUUUGCAGUAAAAUGGCUGAAGCCAGUUCAGCACUGGAUCUGAACCAGUUCUGCUGUUCAAUCUGUCUGGAUCAGCUGAAGGAUCCAGUGACUACAGCCUGCGGACACAAUUACUGUAUGAACUGCAUUAAGAGCUGCUGGGAUCAGGAGGAUCAUGAUGGAGUUUACAGCUGCCCCCAGUGCAGACAGACCUUCACACCCAGACCUGUUCUGCACAGAAACACCAUGGUGGCUGAAUUGGUGGAGAAACUGAAGAAGACUGGACUACAAGCAGCUACUCCUGAUGAUGAUUAUGCUGGACCUGGAGAUGUGGAGUGUGAUUUCUGUACUGGGAGAAAACACAAAGCUGUCAAGUCCUGCCUGGUGUGUCUGGCCUCUUACUGUGAAUCUCACCUCCAGCCUCACUAUGAGUCUCCAGCUUUUAAGAAGCACAAGCUGACUGGUGCCACUGGACAUCUGCAGGACAAGCUCUGUUCCCAGCAUGACAAACCCCUGGAGGUCUACUGCCGUACCGACCAACAGUGUAUCUGUUAUCUCUGUACGAUGGAUGAACACAGAGGCCAUGAUACAGUCUCAGCUGCUGCAGGAAGGACGGAGAUACAGAAACAAAUGGGAGAAACACAGAAGGAAUUUCAGCAGAGAAUUCAGAUGAGAGAGAAGGAGCUGCAGGAGCUGAGAGAGGCUGUGGGCUCAUUCAGAAGCUCAGCACAGUCAGCAGUGGAGGACAGCGAGAGGAUCUUCACCGAGAUGAUCCACUCCAUUGAGAGAAGAUGCUUUGAGCUGACAAAGCUGAUCAGAGAUCAGGAGAAGGCUGUAGUGAGUCAGGCUGAAAGAGACAUAGAGAGACUGAAGCAGGAGAUCGAUGAAAUGAAGAGGAGACACUCUGAGCUGGAGCAGCUUUCACACACAGAGGAUCACAUCCAUUUCCUCCAGAGGUGCCAGAGUCUUCCUGUUGUCCCCGAAGCUGGAUUUGGACCCAGAAUCUCUGUCUAUCCACGCUGCUCUUUUGAGAACAUGAGGAAGGUGGUUUCUGAGCUGAAGGAUCAACUGGAAAAUGUUUCUGAAAAGAAAAUGGCAGAGAUCCAUCACACAGUUACCAAAGACACCAUCCUACCAGUAUUAGUGCCCAGGACCAGAGCAGAAUUCCUACAAUACUUCUGCCAGCUGACGCUGGACUCCAACACAGCACACAGAGCGCUGUCUCUGUCAGAGGGGAACAGGAAGAUGACAGGGGGGGCAGAGCAGCCAUAUCCUGAUCAUCCAGAGAGAUUUGACUGGUGGCCCCAAGUUCUGUGCAGAGAGAGUCUGACUGGUCGCUGUUACUGGGAGGCUGAGUGGAGUGGAGAUGGGGCCUGGAUAGGAGUGACUUAUAAAGGAAUAGGGAGGAAAGGAGACAGUGAUAGCUGUGGGCUUGGAGACAAUGACAAGUCAUGGAUGCUGUGCUGCGAUCCUGACAGUUACUCUGUCUCUCACAAUGAUGAACAAAUUGACAUACCCAUAGAGUGCCCAGGCUCCCACAGAGUAGGAGUGUAUCUAGACUGGGCGGCUGGUACUCUGUCCUUCUACAGAAUCUCCUCUGACAGACUGACCCUCCUGUACAGCUUCACCUCCUCAUUCACUGAACCCCUCUAUCCAGGGUUUUAUAUUUCUCCAAACUCCUCUGUGUGGCUAUGCAUGCUGGAAUAGCUCACUGUGUGCUGCAGGAAUCAUUUUUACCUUAUCAGAGUGUCACAUUUCACUGUUUCUCCAUGGAAAAAAGGAAUUGUAGUAGCUUGGAUUCAACCACUAGAGGGCAGUAGUAGCAUAUAGUUGUAGGCAGCAUGGAGGGAAGCAGAAGAAAGCAACACAGGAAAGUUGGAUUUCUUCUCUGCUAGUAAGAGCAACCUCCAGGAUCCUAAUCAGUCUGGCUUCAAAGCAGCUCACUCUUAGCAGACAUCUCAUCUUGGAUGACCACUCACCAGCUAAAACUCAACAAUAGUAAAACCAAACUGCUUUACAUCCCGGCUGACUCAUCCCCCCUCCAGGACCUUGCGAUCUCCUUUGACAACUCCCUGAUCCGUCCUUCGGGUUCUGCUCGCAACCUUGGAGUUAAUAAUAAUAAUCGAUACUUUUAUUGUCCCCGUAGGGAAAUUGUCUUUACGCCUCCCACAACUUCCUCUUCUUUUUUUCAUAGAGGAAGUUGUCUGCGAAGGGCUGCCACCCGUAGCGGCGCCCAGGGAGCUGGGGGUUAAGGGCCUUGCUCAAGGACCCACAGGCUGAGGCUGGGUUUGAACCUGCGACCUUCUGAUUACACAGGCUUAGCCCACUGAGCCACAUGCUGCUCCCCAUGGAUACCAUGGAUGAUCGGUUGUCCUUUUCCUCACAUAUCGCCAGUCUUUCAAGCUCUUGUCGGUUUCUCCUCUUUAACAUCAGGAGGAUACGUCCAUUUCUUUCCACUCAGGCUACCCAGAUACUCGUCCAGUCCCUCGUCAUCUCACGCCUGGACUACUGCAACUGCGUGCCAUCUGUCCCCUCCAACUGAUUCAGAAUGCAGCUGCUCGACUGGUUUUCAACCAAAAAAGUUCUCCCACACCACUCCUUUGCUACACUCUCUCCACUGGCUUCCUGUAGCCGCCCGCAUCAAAUUCAAAACACUGAUGCUCGCAUACAAAGCCAAAAAUGGCUUUGGCACCAUCCUACCUAAAAGACCUCAUCACACCCCGUACUGCGCCCCGAUCUCUCCGAUCCUCCAGCACUGCUAGACUGGUCCCACCACCCCUCAAGGCACAAGGACGACACACAUCUCGGCUCUUCUCUGUCCUGGCACCUAGUUGGUGGAAUGAACUCCCCCUUGAUGUCCGAACAGCGGAAACCUUGGCUAUCUUCAA